rnacentral:RNase_P_RNA from 2 species
CGAGUAAACCGGGUGACCGCCCUGGAUUCAAUCUGCCCAGGGAGGAAAGUCCGAGCUCCACCGAGCAGGGUGCUGGGUAACACCCAGGAGGGGAGACCCUAUGGAAAGUGCCACAGAAACACACCGCCAGCGGCUGGUUUAGCCAGCGCGGGCAAGGGUGAAAUGGCGAGGUAAGAGCUCACCAGCAACCAGGAGACUGGUUGGCUGGACAAACCCCAUCCGGAGCAAGACCAAAUAAGAGGGCCAAACUACCCAGAGUCUUACGGCUCCGGGAUAAGUUUAAGGUGCUCGGCCGAGACCCUCGGGUUGGUCGCUUGACCUUGAUGGUAACAUCAAGGCUAGAUGGAUGGUCACCGCUCCGGCAUGGUCGGAGUACAGAACUCGGCUUACAGGUUUACUCGUCCA